GGAACGCCAUAGCUGUCUUAUGUGUCUUUUUUAUUGCUUUUCUAUUAUACGAAGAUGCUUUUCUAUUAUACGAUGGUGCUUUUCUAUUAUACGAUGGUGGUUUUCUAUUAUACGAAGGUGCUUUUCUAUUAUACUAAGGUGGUUUUCUAUUAUACGAAGGUGCUUUUCUAUUAUACGAUGGUGGUUUUCUAUUAUACGAAGGUGCUUUUCUAUUAUACGAUGGUGCUUUUCUAUUAUACGAUGGUGCUUUUUUAUUAUAAUAAGGUGCUUUUUUAUUAUGUGAUGGUGGUUCCCGUGAUUAACCGGAAGUGUGGAGUUUAUUUGAAAA